UAUUAAAAAGCCUUCAAGCUUUUAGUUUUUGAUGCCGUAAUAAGUUGUAUUGUCUAUUGACUUGAUUUCAUCGGCAAAACUGGAGAAAUAUUCAUAGCUGUCUCUAUUAACAGUGGAGUUCUGAUUGGUUCUCGCCAUCUUGCGGAGGGAUCGGGUACCAAUCUAAUGUUUCACUGACUGCCAGCCUUUGUUUGCGAGCAGCCAUUACUACUGCGGCAUCGAGUUUUUGUCUUGUCAAAACUGGUUCAACAAUAUCAUCUGUACUACAGUCCAUUUCAUCCAGUGAGUUUAUCCUCUUUCAAAUUGAUUAUUUUCAUCAGCAUCAAGUGCAAUCAUGCCAAGGAAGAGUGUUAAACUUUCGACAACUGCAGAGUCACACAGCAAACCAGACGAUGAAGAGGUUUUAGACUUGCCACACAAGAUGGCUGAGAGAAAUGAUGAACCAAAGGCAAGCAGCAGCCAAGCGCCUCCUCAGCCAUCAACAUCGUCAAAACCUCAGACUAGCGUGUGUUUUGUCGUAACCGAGACCUGAAAACUGAUACUCAAGAUGAAAGGCCGGCGAAGGUGGAUUUAGUAACUCCCAAAGAUGGCUUGCACCCAACACAUCGUGGUAAUCAAGAAUUGACACAACUUGUCAAGAAAGCUCUCAAGCUACCAGGAGCACGCCUUUCGAAAACUAAAGACAUAACUGUCAAUUACCAAUCAGUGAAAUGUCAGCUUUGCAAUGCAAACGGUCAUAUUAACGGAAAUUGUGGAUCAUACUGGUACUUGUAGGUUGUGAUACCUUAAGAUUUGACUGACAAUCAUAGACGUUACACUGAAGAAACCUGUAUGAACAAUGAAUACAAAAACAAUCAACUUAUUUACACCAUGUACUUUUAAAUCUAUCAUUGAAAGAGUUUACAUGUAACAUCAAUACUGUAAACCGGGAAAUUUUUGCGGCUGGUUUAUUUCGCGGAUGAGGUCCGUUUUUGCAAGAAAAAUAUAUUUUACGCUUAAAAUUAAUGCGGAUUCAUCGGUGCCGCAAAGGGACAUUGAGAGACAAAUAUAUAUUUUAUGCGUAUUGAUUUUGCGGACAAGGGCGCACCGCAAAGACCGCAAAAUUAAAACGCCCGCAAAAAUUUCCCGGUUUACAGUAUUCAUAAAUGAUUCAUGGUAAUAAAAUUACUUUAAAGCUAUAUCUAUGACUUACAUAUUCUUUGCACGUUUUAUUCGUUUACUGCCAAUAACCGCUUCCUAAAUAUCCAAGAUUAAUAAUAAGUUUGAUCUACAAUGCCUCACAUUAACCUGAAGUUCCUCAUCGUC